GGCCAAGACAUGAGCUUCUCCCACUGAGCGUUAUUGAUGCUGAACUGAGUGGUCCAGUGCUGUCCUCCGGUGUUUCCCCUCCCCUUCAAUUUUCUGUCCCUGUGUCUGUCACCUGGAAUCUGAGCAGCCAUGACGAAGUCUUACAUUUUCAACUGGCAGAAGCACCUGCCUGAGUUCAUGCAGGAAGGUGCCUCCUUCGACAGGUUUG